GCGCCUUUAGUUCAGCUGGCAGAACAUCGGUCUCCAAAGCCGAGUGUCGAAGGUUCGAUUCCUUCAGGGCGCG
rnacentral:tRNA from 1 species